GCUCUGCGACAGGCGGGAUCUUCCAGGACCAGGGCUCGAACCCGUGUCCCCUGCAUUGGCAGGUGGAUUCUUAACUACUGUGCCACCAGGGAAAUCCCAAGGCAAUUUUUAAACUGGAGAAAAACAGUCUUUUAUGUUAUGUGUUUACUCUUUCCAGUUACUUUGUGUAGAUUUGAAUUUCCUUUAGGUUUCAUUUUUCUUCUGCCUGAAGCACUUCCUUUAACAUUUUAUGUAAUCGAAGUGUGCUAGCAGUGGAGUUUUUCAGCUGUUGUUUGUCUUAAUGUCUUUAUUUUGCCCAUAUUUUUGAAAGAUAUUUUCACUGGCAUGGAAUUCUAGGUUGACUUUUUUUCAUUCAGCAUUCGAGAAGAUAUUGUCUCUUGGUUUGCAUUGUUCUUGAUAAGAUGUGUUUGUUCAUUGUUAACCUAGUUUCUCUUGUAAUCGGGAAGAGCCUUUGUAUCCUGUUACCAGUUAAUCACUAAAGGGAUGCUGCCUAUAAGCUUAAAUUCUCCAUAACGGCCCAUCUCUGGGACCCCUGCCUCCCAGGUAAUGAGCAUUCAGCUAAAAUACCUGUGUUUAGCUCCCAGGAAACCUCCUGAGCAGGCCCACCUGUGAAUGACAGCAGGAGGGAGAAAUUAACACCUCCCCUCCGGAGGCUGCCGGGAACCAGGAAGUGCUUGGCUUUAGUCCCGCCCCUUUUAGUAUAAAAGCCUGAAUUCUGACUCAGCAAGAGGGUUCUUUGGGCCACGGGCCCGCCGCCUUGCUCUGCUGGCUUUCCGAAUAAAGCCGCUAUUCUUUGCCCCAGCAGCUCGCCUCUCAGUUUAUUGGCCUGUCGUGUGGAGAGCAGGACGAGCUUGGACUGGGUAACACCGUCAUUCAGACUCUCUGGAGUCUGCAAGAUGUUUCCUUCUAUAAGCAUCUCGUUUUAAAGCUAGUAUUUUUCCCACGUGGAGUAGCACCUUAAACCCUGAGAUUAACGACUCGGCAGGGAAAUGGGGAAUAAAGAGGGUAAAUAAGGAAUCGGGCGGCCCCGGCAAGCACUCCAGGCACUGCUGCGGAGGCUGGCCGCUUUCUCCUUACGUCGUCUCGCCCGGGCCUGCCAAGCGGCUUCCUGAUGCCGGAGGUCAGCGCCCCAGUAGCUGCAGAUGCGCUUUCUGGGCACCAGCCUGUGCUGACCUGCCAGGCGCUCAUAGCCAAGUGUUGUGGACAAACGGCUUCCCUCUUGCUUGGAAAGACUCGGACGCCAGGGCUCCCCCAGCCGGGCUGGCCUCACCGGGAGGCAGGGCAGCCUCCGACUCCGGCCGCUCUCCUCUGGGCCUCACCCUCCUCCCGGUCCGCUUGGGCAGCAGCACCGCCUACCUGCUCCCCAGAGUUCACACGGGAGCCCGAGGGGUGUCGGAGGGCUCCCAGGAGCCUCAGAAGCCGCCGGAGUGGGCGACCCCAGGAGGAGCAGCUGGACAUGGCCCUGCCCUUGACCGUCACGGAGCAGGUGUUUCUGUUUCCUGUCAGGCCGUCUGGGUGCAGUUCUGCCUGAGCAGGGCCAGUGCCCUAGUACUGGGUUUCGUCCCACAGCCCCCUCGGGUCCCACACUGAGUAGCCUUUGUCAGCAGUAAAGGGACACUCAUCCUCCAGCAGCUGCAUUUUCACUUUGUUUCUCCAGAACUUCGGGGGAGGAAGCUGACCCUCGGGGCAGCCGUCAUGAACGUGGAGAAAGGGCACCGAGGACGGUGCCGACCAAGUGAGCCAGGGCAAGGCUUUGAGGGACCAGGCGCUCGGCCUCCCCCCGGGCUCCCGGGUCACCACUCCUGACCUGGAACCACCACCGUUGGGACCUGAGGCCGCCGUGUCAGGGCCGGUGCCCUGGGGUGGUUUACUUGUGCGGUUGUCUCCUCCCGGGGGCCUGGGCAGGAGAACUGGAGGUUUGGGGCCACGCGGCUUUGACCUCAUGGGUGACCACGGCUUGCGGUGGCUCCGUCCACACAAGCGAUGGUUUCCACAGAGGCAGGAAUUUAAGCAAAGGCUGCUUGGGCCUCCCUCACUGAGGCACAGGCCACGUGCAGGCACCUGAGAGUGGGUGGGCCUUGUGGAGGACCUUGACCUUGACCCCAAACCACAGUUAGACAGGCCUGGGGGCAGCAGAGCCUGAGCACAAGCCAGUUAACAAAAGGGCAGUGGUUGAGGCCGGAGGGGGCGGGCGGGACAGAGCCCAGGACACACCUUCCGGAGCUGAGAUUCUUUGCUUUUUGCUCAGUGAGACACUCGACACUCGAGCCUGCCCGGUGGCCAACCCCCUUGCAUCAUCGGUGGGCAGUUGUGCCACGACUCUGUGGACUCCUGAUCCCAGUGCUCUGGCCACAGCUGCAUGUGGACUCGCUGCAUAUACAGCCAUGUCACCUGUGAGGACUGAGGCCCAGCCUGUCUUUAUUUUUUGCCUCCUGAGGGGGCUGCCGGCUCCAGUGACAUGUCUAAUGGAAGGGGACGAUUGUGCCAGCGUUCCUUGCCCCCAACCUUAAAGGUGCUUUCAGUGUUUCAUCGUAAGUGUGAUGCCUGCGCUGGUUACUGUUUGCAGAUACCCUUUAUCAAGUUAAGGACGUUUCCUUCUAUUUGAUAUUCUAAGAGUCUUUUGUUUUUUUACAUCUCAAAGAUGCUAAAUUUUAACAGUAUUUUAUGAUUCUACAGGGAUGACCAUAUGAUUUUUCUUUUAAUAUCCAUGCUGUGAGUUACACUGAUUAAUUUUCUAAUGUUAAAACGUCUUUGCCUUCCUGGAUAUGAGGAACUACCUUUUAAAAGAUAUGUCCCUGGAUUCAGUUUGUUAGUAAUUUGUUUAGGAUUUUUGCAUGUUCGUUUAUGUAUGAGAUCAGACUAUAAUUGUCCUUUCUCAGAAUGUCUUUAUUAGGCUUUGAAAUGAAAGCCAUGUUGGCCUUGUAAAAUGAAUUUGGGAUGUUUCUUUUAUACAUUUUUAGGGAAUGUAUUUGUUUACUAUUGCUGCUGUAACAAAUUACCACAAAUGUAGUGGCUUUAAACAGUACAAAUUUAUUUAUCUUAUGAUGUUGGUAGUCAGAACCGGACUAAAAUCUAAGUGUCAGGCACAGCUGUGUGCCUCUGGAGCCUCCAGGGGAGAAUCCCUGUCUGCCGUUUCCAGCCCCUGGAAGCGCCCACGUUCCAAGGCUUAGGGACUCUUCCGCAUCACAACCAGCAGUGCUGCCCCUCCGACCCUGCUUCGCCGGCCACACGUCCCUCCAGCGGGCCCCCCGAGACCACCCAGGACCACCUCCCGGUCUCAGGCCCUCUGCAGCCUGCUGCCAGUGCAACUCUUCUAAAAUACAAUCUUAUGUGGAAUCCCAGAUACACGAAGUGAAUUCAGGAUUCACACUGUGGGCGUGCACGUCACAGCAGAGUCACUAGCAGCCCAAGGUGACGGCCCUUCUGUUCAGCUCCGGGUCUGAGGGUUGAAGACGCCAAACCCCGCUGGUUGAAGAUUCGCGUGUGUCACAGCUCCGUAAGCACAGAUGCACCGGUGCAGUCCUGUGGAAUCGCAUAUGUGCCUGAAACUGACCUUUGCUGAGGCAUCUAUUUCAAAGACAUCCAUUCGAAUAAACCUACGGCAGCUGCGGACAUAGCUACUGGCUACCAUCAGGUAAGGAACCGGGCAGCCCUGCCUGGAGGACCCCCUUUCAGAAGCCCUAGAUGGCCGAGCCUGGAGCAACCUGCCUCUCCCUUGCCAGCCCCAAUUUGCACGCUAGUGCUUUAAAGUCACCACCAAAGGGGGAACCUGUGAAACCCCAGAUGCCUCACCCUCAGACCCUGAUAGAGGCUGAGCCCAGGUUCACGACCCCUCCCUCCCUCCCUCCCCCCCACUCCCACCCCACCGUGUGGCCUUGAGUGUGCUGUGUGCCCUCAGGACCCAUAGGGACAACCCUUGCUCCUCGGAGUCCCCUGAGGCUUGUUGCUGAUGUGCAUCCUGGGACCCUAAGAACCAAGAGGGCUGGCCCAGCCACGACAGUGGCCCUGGCGGAGGGGGACGUGGCACCACCCGCACAGCAGGUAACUCUCCACGUGGAGGGAGCCGUGGAGCCCUGUAGUAAGAACAAGACACACUGUCGAUUUAGUCCACCCUCACACCUGCCUUCGAGGUAGAUACUCUCCUGGUUCUGGUUUGAGAGGCAGGGAGACGGACGCUCGGAGGGGAGAAACCUGCCAGGAACAAGGGGCGAUUAGGUGGCAGAGCGAGUACUGCAGGCACCUCUGCCGCCACCAGACAAGCGCAGCCUGAGACAGAGCUGUGUGCUCUUGCGUUUAUGUCCCUUGAAUAAGAUGGGUUUCCUGUAUCAGACUCAACUAUGAAAACAACCGGCUAAAUGGUCAGAACAUCCGAUCAGGUGAACAGACUCUCACAUCAGCUUCCUCCAGGCCCGUCACAGCCUGGGGACUGUGGCACUGGUCAGAAGCCAGCCCGUCUCUGCACCGACGCUGCACCCGCUGGCCCGCGUGCCUUCCACGCCGACUUCCGUACAGAAAGCAGCAGUGGCCAGAUGCCCUUGCUUUCCCAGUCCUAGCUCACGAAAUGCUCAGCCAGGUAACGGAGCUGCAUCCCUCACACCAUCAGAGGUCACAGGAGAACCCUGGAGACUUUUUUAGUAUAAGACAGUAGUCUUUAACUGUCUUUUAAAGAAAUAAAAAAAAUCUGAAGUGACUUAAUUUGUAGAUACUAUAUUUUACAGCUCCCUGAACUUAUACAUAGCUCAUUGGCUCAGAAAUUCAAAAAUAGGUUUUCUGGAUACGGUUGGAAUAAAAAUGUAAUUUACUGUAAUAUGUGGUGAGACUUUAGACCUUGAUCUUCAUCAGUGAGCUGCUUCUCACUUAACAUGUCAUACAGUAAAGUUAGUGUCAAAUAAAUUCUAUAGUUAGGUGAAAAUGAAUACCCAUAUUCUGGCAUGCAAUUUAAUCACUAAAAAAGCACUAAAAUUUUAUGUUAAUGCUUUUUCUUUGCAUCUCAUCUCCCAAACUGAAUUUCUCUGGAAAAUAUCCUAAAAUUGAAAAUUAUCAAAUGUUUUUAAAAUGCACAGAAUAAGAGUUAUGACAUAUGUAUAUAUCAUAAAGAUACUUUAAUAGUUCCCAAGUGAAUGAACUUGGAACUAUUAAAAUGAACUGAAGCACGAUGGUUGGUCCUUUUCCAA